AGAAAAUUAAAGUGUAAAACAAUUUUGAAAAGAAAUUAAAAAAAGAAACAAAUAAGAAGUAAAUAACAAAAAAUCCAGAAAUUAAAAUCAAAAGCCAGGGGUUGCAAAGCAGAAAAUAGUGGUAUGUCGGAGUUUGGGCACAGAGGCCCAAUCCAAGGCCCACUGGCCUUAAGCCCUGAACAGAGGGGUACAGGAAGCAGUUUGAGGUGUUUGAACAUGAUUGCGGAUGGGACAACGCAUGCAGAGGCCCAUUCACUCCUUACUCACGCAGGAAGGGUGCACCAAGUGGACUCAGGGGUGCUACUAGCAAAUCCAUGGGCAUGAGUCCCAGCCGAAUUUAAACCAAAGCAAAAUGAGGGAAGGGUCAGCUUGCUUGGAUUCAACUCACAUGCAUUCAUACAUCACUUCAAUGCUCUCUCCUCUAACAUAUUUCAUCCCCGGAGUCUCUAAUCAACUCCGGCGAUGACGAAGGGCCAAACAUGAAAUUGAUUGCAUCAUUCUAUUCGAUUUCACCCCCUCCAUUCAAAUCUUAUAAUCACUGAACCUAAUUCCAAAUAUAAAGGCCAAAUCGAAACAAAAAGUGUAUGGACCCUAAUCUACAAAACCAGAAAUUAAAUGAAGACCACGAUGGAUCAAAGCCUCUGAUGAGAGGGCUUUGAUUCCUGACACAAGGAGCUACAUCUUGGUAAGCAAAUUUAAGCAAAAUGGAGCAGAAUAAUUGGAGCCCUACUUGCCGGAGACGAAGGUGAUGACGACGGAGAUGAAGGUUAAAUCAGGAAAAGGUGAGAUUAUGGUGGCAAGACAAGUCAGAGUAUUGUGGAGGCCUAUGGAAACAUCAUGGCAUGGUGGAUUGACGGGCUGUCAAGUUCAAAGCUUCUUCCUUUUUUUACUUUUGAUUCAAGCUAUGUAACAUGUGAACAUGUAGCAUGCUAUGAUGAUGUAGUAGUUAUUAGGAAAUGGAUUAGUUUAUGUAAAAUGAUUUUAUUCUUGUAAUGAAGAAUGUUUAUGGAUAA